rnacentral:rRNA from 1 species
CAAUAGCAUAUAUUAACGUUGUUGCAGUUGAAAAGCUCGUAGUUGAACUUUUGGUAGGAGCGACCUGGCCUUGGGCGCAUGCCCUUGUUUGCCGUGUGUCGUAUCUGGCUAUCCUUUUCUUCGUUUUUCGGAGGAAUCUUUUACUGUGAGUAAACUGGAGUGCUCAAAACAAGACGUUUGUUUGGUACAUUAAAGCAUGGAAUAAUAAGAUAGGACCUGGUACUAUUUUGUUGGUUUGCAUAGCUAGGUAAUGAUUAACAGGGACAGUUGGGGGUAUUCGUAUUUAAUUGUCAGAGGUGAAAUUCUUGGAUUUAUGAAAGACGAACGACUGCGAAAGCAUUUACCAAGGAUGUUUUCAUUAA